CUCGUUUUUGCGACUGGGUGUCGAAACUUUGUAGCGUUGUCCGUGUUGCGUGAUUUGGUGUGAAGGACGACGCCGACCUCUGACGGAGAGUGACAGAGGGCUGGUGAUAGCUGUGAAGUGACGAGGGCGAGUGAUCGGUGCAUCGGAGACUGCGCGGUGCAGACGAGUGAGCAGCAAGAGGCAGUUGUGUCGGGACAGAGGCGAAGGCUAACACACCAGCAGUCGUGAGUAACUGUAGAGCCCAGCUCCACUGGAGAGAGUGAAUAGUGGAUUAUUUAUUAAAAGAAUUACUUUGUGGACAACUACAUUGCAUCAAUUUAAUUAAUAGCAUAAAUAUUAGUUAAUAAAUAAAACUGCAUUUAAUCAA